AGACCCGAAACCCGGUGAUCUAGCCAUGGGCAGGUUGAAGGUUGGGUAACACUAACUGGAGGACCGAACCGACUAAUGUUGAAAAAUUAGCGGAUGACCUGUGGCUGGGGGUGAAAGGCCAAUCAAACCGGGAGAUAGCUGGUUCUCCCCGAAAGCUAUUUAGGUAGCGCCUCGUGAAUUCAUCUCCGGGGGUAGAGCACUGUUUCGGCUAGGGGGCCAUCCCGGCUUACCAACCCGAUGCAAACUGCGAAUACCGGAGAAUGUUAUCACGGGAGACACACGGCGGGUGCUAACGUCCGUCGUGAAGAGGGAAACAACCCAGACCGCCAGCUAAGGUCCCAAAGUCAUGGUUAAGUGGGAAACGAUGUGGGAAGGCCCAGACAGCCAGGAUGUUGGCUUAGAAGCAGCCAUCAUUUAAAGAAAGCGUAAUAGCUCACUGGUCGAGUCGGCCUGCGCGGAAGAUGUAACGGGGCUAAACCAUGCACCGAAGCUGCGGCAGCGACACUCAGGUGUUGUUGGGUAGGGGAGCGUUCUGUAAGCCUGUGAAGGUGGCCUGUGAGGGUUGCUGGAGGUAUCAGAAGUGCGAAUGCUGACAUAAGUAACGAUAAAGCGGGUGAAAAGCCCGCUCGCCGGAAGACCAAGGGUUCCUGUCCAA
rnacentral:rRNA from 1 species